UAUGCAAUUUUGUGCUGUGUGUAAAGUACACAGAUAGCAAUUAUUGCAGUUGUUAUGUAAUGUUUAAUAAGUUUUGAAAAAGAAAUAUGAUACAAUACAUCUUACACACAAAACCACAUUGAACAAAACACUAAAUGUUCACUUCAAAAGUACAGGUGCACAAAAAUGUGUGUUCUGCUGAAAAGCAAGUGGUUUAAAGCUGGUGCAGUGCUACAUUAUGAUCUAACAAAUAGCAUAACCCACAUUGCAACAGAAAAGUUAAUACUGGCCAAAUGCAAAAGAAAUAAACUUAACACAUUACAAUUGUCUCAAGUGUUCAAAAAAGAACAUUUCAUUAGUAUUGUUUAAUGGAUCAAAGCAGGGCUACUGCAAACAAGACCAAUUGGUGAGUGCACAUAUUUAAAAGUCGCUGACAGCACUUCAUGCAUAUAGGAGUGAUAUGUGGAGGUUGUUUGGCCUUGAUGUCUGUAAAGUAGUAGCUCCCCAAGAAUUUUAGUCUUGGGGAGUUUUUGGUUCAGUACUGAUAUCAGAAUUCCCAUAGACUUUGAAUGCACCACACCUGCACAGCAGUUAGUCACGGCUCCUCCCUGCUCAGAGCUAGCGUGCUUUUCUUUUAAGGCCUCGGUUUGCAUGGAGAGAGAAACAGGAGAUGUAAUCGGUUGAGCAGGAAGAUUUGCUGUAUUAUUGUGUUGAAGAAUAUCCUGGCUGUUUUUUUUUUUUACAUAGUUGCAGAAUCUGCUGUUACAGCUGAGCGGUUCAUUGUAUGGACUGGACUAGACUCCACCAGAGAUGUUGAUGCAGAAUGUUCCCAAUGUGAAUGCCAUCCGGUUCCCUGGAAGGUGACGCUGUUCUUCUGGAGUUUCCGUAGACAAGUGUCUCUGAUGUGCGCACGGCCAUCAGACGAAAAUGUAACAAUGAGCAGUUCAGCCAAAAAAA